UGCAAUUUAUUAUAUAUAUACCAAAUAUAUAUAUACCAAAUAGCAGAAGAUGUUAUCUCAAGUUAGUUUUUAGACUUAAGAUUUGAUAAAAAAAAUAAUGUUGGUGGGGACUGAAAGACCCCAGCUUAGCAGCAGUAACGCCAUUUUGCAAGGCUAUAUUUAAGAUGACUGGUUCAGGGAAAGGUUAGAACACUGAGUACACAGCGGCUGCCAAACAAGAUGUGUUUGGUUGAAGGCCUGGCAACAGGAGGACUGCCGUUGAGCACCUGACAAUGAGAAAAGCCCCAGGAGAGGUCCCACACCGUGGUGGGGGGCCGAGUCAGUCGUUAUGUUCCAAGAAGGUAGCUAAGAAACUUGCCCCCGGGCUGAACCCUUGGGGGGCCGAGUCAGCCGUUAUGUUCCAAGAAGGUAGCUAGGAAACUUGCCCCCGGGCUAAACCCUUGCCAUAUUAGAAUCCACCAAUUAUAUCCCUGUAACCAUGCAUCUGCUUCUGUAUGCUUGCUUCUGCUCCCCAAAAUCCUAUAAAAGCCCAUCCUUGGUUCUGUGGGGCGCGCCAGUCCCCCGAGUGACUGAAGCGCCCGCAGGUGCCUGUGCCUGUGUAUCCCGACAAUAAACCAAAUCCUCUUGCUGAUUGCAUCCUGUGGUGUCUCGGUCUGGUCUUUGGAGUUGGAGGGUCUCCAUCCCGAGGGAAAGUUCUCCCUGAGAGCUUUUCAUUUGGUGCAUUGGCCGGGAAAGGAGAUCCUCCACCCAGGGACCACCGACCACCCACUGGGAGGUAAGCCGGCCGGCGUCUGUCUGAUUCUGUCUCGUUCUGCCUUAUUCUGUCUGUUCUGUGAGCGCUCAGCCAGGUCUGUUCUGUGAGCGCUCAGCCAGGUCUGUUCUGUGAGCGCUCAGCCAGGUUGUUUGGAAUUUGGGCGGGACGAAGAAGGAGCUGACGAGCUCGGACUUCUCGCCCCGCAGCCCUGGAAGACGUUCCAAGGGUGUUGGGGCCCGACUUUUCGGGGCCCAAUCUGGGAGAGGAGAAAGAUCCGGACUAACGGCACUCUGUCUGUAUUUUUGGCUUUCAGAGGGCCCCGGACUUUUGCCACCUCUAUCUGACUUUUUGCUUUCAGUUUGGUACCAAAGCCGUGCAGCACGCCUGUCUGUUGUUUGUUUGACUGUUGGUGUUGUUUGUUUUCUCUGUGUUCUAAUCUUCCUUAGAACUAACAUGGGACAGUCCCUAACAACGCCCCUAAGUCUCACUCUUGAUCAUUGGAAAGACGUCCACGACCGGGCACACAACCAGUCCGUCGAGGUUAAAAAAAAAAAAAAGGAAAAGGGCAGACUCUCUACACAUCCGAGUGGCCCACUUUCGGAGCGGGAUGGCCAGUGAAUGGCACAUUUAAUAAGAUCAUUAUUUUACAGGUUAAAGAUCGGGUCGUCCACGGACAUCCUGACCAGGUUUCUUAUAUUAUCACUUGAGAGAGUCUCGCCUUAACCCCCCCCCCCCGGGCGGAACCCUUCGUGGACCCAAAUUGGCCUCCCCUCAACCCCCAGUCUGUCCCCUCUGCCCCGCCCGGUCCACCUGCCACGUCUUCCUCUCUCUACCUUUGUGAAAUCAGAGCCUUCUAAGAAACCUGUCCUCCCGGCAGACCCAAACUCCCCUCUCAUAGAUCUUCUCUCUGACAGGCCCGGCUGAAACGGAGGAGGCAGAGCCGCCGGCCAGAUCAGUUGCCGGGCCACAGUCUGAUAAGGGUUUCUCCCCUGUCGCAGGGAGAUUGCACAAUAAGCUCGAGGUGAUGCCAGAUACAACCUCCCAGGCUUUCCCACUUAGACAGGGAACCGGUGGCCAGACCCAAUACUGGCCGUUUUCAACAGCUGACAUUUACAAUUGGAAACAACACAACCCUUCUUUCUCCAAAGAUCCGGUGGCACUCACCGACCUAAUAGAAUCUGUUUUACUUACCCACCAGCCUACUUAGGAUGACUGCCAACAGCUCUUACAGGCCCUCUUAACCUCAGAAAAAAAAAAAACAAGGAGUGUUCCUAGAGGCCAGAAAGCAUGUUCUGGGAGAUGAUGGGCGUCCCACCCAGCUGCCUGAGGACCAAACUGGGAUUUUAAUACAGCUGAAGGUAAGGGACACCUACGCCUUUAUCGCCAGUUGCUUCUAGCGGGUCUCCGAGGGGCUAUACGACGCCCUACUAAUUUGGCUCAGGUAAAACAGGUAUUACAGGAAGCAGGGGAAACUCCCUCCGCCUUUCUAGAGAGACUUAAGGAGGCCUACCGUAUGUACACUCCCUAUGACGAGUGUCUCUAUGUCCUUCAUCUGGCAGGCUGCUCCAGAUAUCAGGACUAAGUUACAGAGGUUAGAAAAUUUGCAGGGCUAUACAUUACAGGAUUUACUUAAAGAAGCUGAAAAGAUUUUUAAUAAGAGAGAGAAUUGAGUCGAAUCUUGGCCACCGUAGUUCAGGGCCAAGAAAGGAAGGGAGAUAGGGGGGAGCUCGAAAGGGGCUGAAGCUGGAUAAAGAUCAAUGUGCCUAUUACAAAGAGAAAGGACACUGGGCCAGAGAGUGCCCCAAGAAGCCUGGUGGACCCCGAAAGCCUCGACCACGAACCUCCCUCUUGGCUCUAGAUAAAGAUUAGGGAGGUCAGGGCCAGGAGCCCCCCCCCUGAGCCCAGGGUAACGCUUAAGUUGGGGGGCAGCCGGUUACUUUCCUGGUAGACACAGGAGCCCAGCAUUCAGUCCUCACCCAAGCUUCAGGACAACUCAGCGACCGGACGGCCUGGGUACAAAGAGCUACUGGUGAGAAACAAUACCGAUGGACUACAGACCGCCGGGUUCAGCUGGCUACCGGUAAGGUGACCCAUUCCUUCUUACAUGUUCCGGACUGCCCGUACCCUCUGCUGGGCCGUGACCUGCUCACCAAACUAAAUUCAUUUUGAGGAAGGAGGGGCCCAAAUAACUGGCCCCCACGGAACUCCCCUUCAAGUUCUAACCCUACAACUAGAGGAUGAAUAUAGACUAUAUGAACUGGGACAGGACAAGCCACAAUCCCUAGAAAUAGACACUUGGGUCACGAAUUUUCCACUGGCUUGGGCAGAGACUGGUGGGAUGGGGUUGGCGCUCCAACAGCCCCCCUUAAUUACAACUCCAGUCUCCAUAAAACAAUACCCCCUGUCAUAUGAAGCUUAUCAAGGUAUAAGGCCUCACAUUACGAGGCUUCUAGAUCAAGACAUCCUAAUCCCCUGCCGGUCACCUUGAAAUACGCCUCUUCUGCCUGUUAAGAAACCCGACACUGGAGAUUAUAGGCCAGUACAAGACUUGAGAGAGGUCAACAAGAGGGUAAAAGAUAUUCAUCCGACCAUUCCAAACCCUUACAAUUUGCUCAGUAACUGUUCAUCGAUGAGAAACAGGGGUAUGCUAAAGGGUCCUAACACAAAGGUUGGGACCCUGGAAACGCCCUGUGGCCUACCUGUCUAAGAAAUUGGACCCUGUGGCCUCCGGCUGGCCACCGUGCCUAAGGAUGGUGGCUGCUAUUGCUGUCCUGAUCAAGGAUGCUGGAAAAUUGACUUUGGGACAGCCACUCACCAUCCUAGCACCCCACGCAGUGGAGGCCUUGGUAAAGCAGCCCCCAGACCGCUGGCUCUCUAAUUCUCACACCAAGCCUUGUUACUGGAUGCAGAACGGGUUCAGUUUGGGCCCGUAGUCGCCCUCAAUCCUGCCACCUUGCUUCCUCUACCUGAGGAGGCAGAACAGCAUGACUGCCUAAGUACAUGGAACCAGGCCGGACCUAUCGGACCAGCCUCUUCAGAAUGCUGACCACACAUGGUACACGGAUGACAACAGCUUCUUGGCAGAGGGAGAGCGAAAGGCUGGAGCUGCGGUCACUACGGAGGACAAAGUGAUUUGGGCGAAAGCCCUGCCUGUUAGUACCUCCGCACAACGGGCUGAACUCAUCGCCUUGACUCAGGCGCUCAAGAUGACAAAAGGUAAGAGGCUAAAUAUAUAUAUACAGACAGCCGUUAUGCCUUUGCCACGGCACACAUCCACGGGGAGAUCUACUGGAGGCGGGGGCUGCUCACAUCUGAGGGUAAAGAUAUUAAAAAUAAGGCUAAAAUUCUGGCCCUCUUAGAAGCUCUAUUCUUGCCCAAAAGACUGAGUAUUAUGUAUUGUCCAGGACACCAGAAAGGGCACAACCCAGAGGCACGAGGAAACCGGCUGGCCGAUGCCACGGCUCGAGAAGCGGCCAUGAACAAAUAAAUCUUGCCCUUAAAUAGCCCAGACCAACCCACGCCCCCACCAAUGAGACAAACCAGUUGGGUUUAUGCCCAUGAGGACAUAGAGCUCCUAAAAAAAAAAUGGGGGCCAUCUACCACCCUCAACUAAAACAGUGGGUCUACAAAGGAAAGACAGUUAUGCCAAUAAAAAUGACUUUUAAAUUGAUCUCCUUUUUACAUAAAUUAACCCAUUUGGGGUUUAAGAAGAUGACUAGAUCGAGAAGAGAUAAAUCUGUGUUUUUUAAAUCGGGACAAAGCGAUACAAAAGGUGACUGAGAGUUACAAAGCGUGCGCUCAGGUUAACCCGAGAAGGACCAUGAUUGGACAAGGAGUUCAUCCUAGGGGACACCGUCCCGACAUCCAUUGAGAAAUUGAUUUUACUAAAAUUAAACCAGAUAUAUAUGGAUACAAGUAUCUCCUAGUGUUUGUAGACACCUUCUCAGGAUGGGUCAAAGCCUUCCCCACGAAGCACGAGACUACAAAAAUGGUCACCAAGAAGCUCCUCGAAGAAAUCUUUCCCAGGUAUGACAUGCCUCAAGCGUUGGGGUCGGACAACGGGCCCGCUUUCGUCUCCCAAGUAAGUCAGUUGGUGGCCAAAUUGCUGGGGAUUGAUUGGAAAUUACAUUGUGCCUAUAGACCCCAGAGUUCAGGUCAGGUAGAACACAUGAAUAGAACAAUUAAGGAGACUUUAUCCAAACUUACGCUUACAACUGGCUCAAAGGAUUAGGUGGCCCUCCUUCCCCUAGUUCUAUAUCAGGCCCGGAAUACCCCGGGCCCCCAUGGUCUAACUCCUUUUGAAAUAAUAUAUGGAACACCACCCCCAUUUGUCCAUUUCUUUGAUUCAAACAUUGCUGAUUUUGUUGACAGCCCUUCUCUGAGGGCCCAUUUACAGGCCCUACAGAUUGUGCAGAGAGACGUCUGGAGACCUUUGGCCACUGCUUACCAGGACAAGCUUGAGCAUCCGGUGGUGCCACACCCGUUCCAGAUUGGAGACACCGUGUGGGUGCACAGACACCAGACCAAGAAUCUCGAGCCACGGUGGAAAGGACCCUACACCGUCCUCCUGACUACCCCGACCGCCCUAAAGGUAGACGGAGUCUCGGCUUAGAUCCACGCACCACACGUCAAGGCAGUCCAGUCUGAGGAAUUGACUAAUCACAACACUACACCCCAGACAUGGAGAGUUCAGCGCACUCCAAACCCCUUAAAGUUAAAACUCCUACGUGGCUCCUCCUAGCCCUUUUGUGGCCUAGAGUCAGUGGGGAAAUAAGCCCCCACCAGACAGAAAUUUCUUGACCAAGUCGAGUGAAAGAUUUCACUCAAAGUUAACAAAAAAAAAUGGGGGAAUGAAAGACCCCAGCUUAGCAGCAGUAACGCCAUUUUGCAAGGCUAUAUUUAAGAUGACUGGUUCAGGGAAAGGUUAGAACACUGAGUACACAGCGGCUGCCAAACAAGAUGUGUUUGGUUGAAGGCCUGGCAACAGGAGGACUGCCGUUGAGCACCUGACAAUGAGAAAAGCCCCAGGAGAGGUCCCACACCCUGGUGGGGGGCCGAGUCAGUCGUUAUGUUCCAAGAAGGUAGCUAAGAAACUUGCCCCCGGGCUGAACCCUUGGGGGGCCGAGUCAGCCGUUAUGUUCCAAGAAGGUAGCUAGGAAACUUGCCCCCGGGCUAAACCCUUGCCAUAUUAGAAUCCACCAAUUAUAUCCCUGUAACCAUGCAUCUGCUUCUGUAUGCUUGCUUCUGCUCCCCAAAAUCCUAUAAAAGCCCAUCCUUGGUUCUGUGGGGCGCGCCAGUCCCCCGAGUGACUGAAGCGCCCGCAGGUGCCUGUGCCUGUGUAUCCCGACAAUAAACCAAAUCCUCUUGCUGAUUGCA